rnacentral:rRNA from 1 species
UGGGGAACUUUGGACAAUGGGCGCAGGCCUGAUCCAGCAAUGCCGCGUGCAGGAUGAAGGCCUUCGGGUUGUAAACUGCUUUUGUACGGAGCGAAAAGGUCUGCCCUAAUACGGUGGGCUCAUGACGGUACCGUAAGAAUAAGCACCGGCUAACUACGUGCCAGCAGCCGCGGUAAUACGUAGGGUGCGAGCGUUAAUCGGAAUUACUGGGCGUAAAGCGUGCGCAGGCGGUUAUAUAAGACAGAUGUGAAAUCCCCGGGCUCAACCUGGGACCUGCAUUUGUGACUGUAUAGCUAGAGUACGGUAGAGGGGGAUGGAAUUACGCGUGUAGCAGUGAAAUGCGUAGAUAUGCGGAGGAACACCGAUGGCGAAGGCAAUCCCCUGGACCUGUACUGACGCUCAUGCACGAAAGCGUGGGGAGCAAACA